AGCUGUGGCCCAGUGGUUUGAGCACUGGACUGGGACUCUGGAGACUAGGAUUCGAAUCCUAGCAUGGCCA